rnacentral:rRNA from 1 species
GGUUUGAUCUUGGCUCAGAGCGAACGCUGGCGGCAGGCCUAAAACAUGCAAGUCGAACGCCGUAGCAAUACGGAGUGGCAGACGGGUGAGUAACACGUGGGAACGUACCCUUUGGUUCGGAACAACACAGGGAAACUUGUGCUAAUACCGGAUAAGCCCUUACGGGGAAAGAUUUAUCGCCGAAGGAUCGGCCCGCGUCUGAUUAGCUAGUUGGUGGGGUAACGGCCCACCAAGGCUACGAUCAGUAGCUGGUCUGAGAGGAUGAUCAGCCACACUGGGACUGAGACACGGCCCAGACUCCUACGGGAGGCAGCAGUUAGGAAUCUUGGACAAUGGGCGCAAGCCUGAUCCAGCCAUGCCGCGUGAGUGAUGAAGGCCUUAGGGUUGUAAAGCUCUUUCAGCGGGAAGAUAAUGACGGUACCCGCAGAAGAAGCCCCGGCUAACUUCGUGCCAGCCGCCGCCGUAAC